AUGACUUAUGCGUUCUGUUAUCAUUUCCAACUGGAGGAUCCCUUAAUCCAAUUAAAGGAGGAUUAUAAAUGGAUAGAUGUCUUUGAUUUCCACUGGAGAUUGGGAAUCGAUGGACUUUCAUUAGGAUCUAUUUUAUUGACAGGAUUUAUCACUACUUUAGCUACUUUAGCAGCUUGGCCAAUUACACGGAAUUCGCGAUUAUUCUAUUUCCUGGUGCUCGCAAUGUAUAGUGGUCAAAUUAUAUUAUUUUCUUCGCGAGACCUUUUACUUUUUUUAUCAUGUGGGAGUUAG
rnacentral:rRNA from 1 species